UACGUAGGGGGCAAGCGUUGUCCGGAUUUAUUGGGCGCAAAGAGCGUGUAGGCGGUUUGGUAGGUCCGUUGUGAAAACUCGAGGCUCAACCUCGAGACGCCGGCGGAAACCAUCAGGCUAGAGUCCGGAAGAGGAGAGUGGAAUUCCUGGUGUAGCGGUGAAAUGCGCAGAUAUCAGGAAGAACACCCGUGGCUAAGGCGGCUCUCUAGUACGGUACUGACGCUGAGACGCGAAAGCGUGGGGAGCGAACAGG
rnacentral:rRNA from 1 species